rnacentral:rRNA from 2 species
ACGGAAGGCAGCAGUGGGGAAUAUUGCACAAUGGGCGCAAGCCUGAUGCAGCGACGCCGCGUGAGCGAUGAAGUAUUUCGGUAUGUAAAGCUCUAUCAGCAGGGAAGAAAAUGACGGUACCUGACUAAGAAGCCCCGGCUAACUACGUGCCAGCAGCCGCGGUAAUACGUAGGGGGCAAGCGUUAUCCGGAUUUACUGGGUGUAAAGGGAGCGUAGACGGCGAUGCAAGUCUGAAGUGAAAGCCCGGGGCUCAACCCCGGGACUGCUUUGGAAACUGUGUUGCUAGAGUGCAGGAGAGGUAAGCGGAAUUCCUAGUGUAGCGGUGAAAUGCGUAGAUAUUAGGAGGAACACCGGUGGCGAAGGCGGCUUACUGGACUGUAACUGACGUUGAGGCUCGAAAGCGUGGGGAGCAAACAGGAUUAGAUACCCUGGUA